CUUUUUUUGCGCUGAACCACCCAGGGAGCGCAAGUUCAUUCCCUAGUUUGCCGACGUGCGUCUGUGGAGGGAAAAACCCGCUGUGCGCCGGGGCAAAAUACGAAUGAUACAUGCGUCACUGACAAAGUCAAUUGCGCUGGGUGCAAGAUAGAGCCCUAUGUCUUCUAUUUAUAUGUUUUGAGUCUUAAGAAAAGUAUUAUUAUUACAUUAAAUCUUUGCAUUUCUAUUCAAAAUGUUUUGUAUUUCAGGAAUCAAAUCCAUAUUCUUGGCUUUUUCAUGUCAUGCUUCACCAGUUGAACUAAUUGACAAACUUAUUCAAGCCUAAUUGUGAAAAGUAUUUCAUGUGAAUUCUGUUAUAUCACUUCCCAGGUACACAGGUGAUAAGCAGCCCAAAUCCUGUGAUAGAUGGAGAAAAAGUGAUAUUAAGCUGUUCAACCAAUUGCACUCUGGAUAGCAAACAUACUUACAUCUGGUAUAAGAAUGGACAACAGGUAACAGAUGGAUUGAGAUUAUUAAACAAGCUGUACCUGGACUCAAUCAACAGAGAGGAGAUACAAGAGUAUUCAUGUACUGUAGGAGAUGCAGUGUCCUCUACAGACCAAAAGAAAUCGACAUGGUUACGAAACACAUCAAUCAUAUUGUCUGUGUUUCUGACUCUUGCACUCAUAGGAGUCCUGAUGUGGUACAGGAUGAGAAGCUGUAUCUUGUCUAGAAAUCACAAGGAUACAAAGGAGGAGGCACAGUAUGACUCCGUGCACAUUGAUGCAGCGCCGUCUGAACACACACAGAAAGAAGAAUGCAAAAAUGAGGAUAUUCAUUACAGCAGCGUUCAUUUUGUAAAUUCAAAAACAAAGCAGAAAUCUUCAGACACCACAAACACCACAGAAAAAGAAGAUGUUCAGUACGCCACUGUAAUGUUUAGUUAACAGACUGUUGCAAUCAUUGCACAAAUUUGUCAUUGCUAUGUUUCCAUGUUGUAUCAUUAAUCCCAAACGUGUUUGUUGUAAAGAAGAAGAACUAUCACCACAUCCUCCUGUCAAGGCCAUGGGUGUCUCCGACACAGCGCUUCUAUGGUUCAAGUUGUAUCUCUCAGUUAGGUCAUUUAGGGUAUCUUGGAGAGGUGAUGUCUCCGAACCCCAACGUCUCAAUACCGGGGUGCCACAAGGCUCCGUGUUUGGACCACUGCUAUUUUCGAUACACAUGACAUCCCUGGGUUCUGUCAUUCGAAAACAUGGCUUCACGGAGCAUGUUGCCAGCACUAACCCGGAAGUCCGCCUGACCUUUCCAAAAUGAGCAUGCUACGAAGGUCCUAGUCCAAGCUCUUUUCCUGUCCAGGCUGGACUACUGCAAUGCGCUACUGGCUGGACCUUCAGCCUGCACAACCAAACCCCUACAGAUGAUUCAGAAUGCAGCAGCAAGAGUGGUCUUCAAUGAGCCAAAGAGGGCGCACGUCACUCCUCUCUUUGUCAAGUUACACUGGCUUCCUAUAGCAGCUCACAUCCAAUUUAAAGCUCUGCUCCUGGCCUUUAAAAUCACCACUGGGUCAGCAGACUCAGCACCCCCUUACCUUCACUUGCUUAUACAGCCUUAUGUACCCUCUCAAUCCCUGCGCUCUGUCACAGAUUGACGGCUUGUGGUGCCAUCUCAUAAAGGGAAAAACAUUAUUGGGUACGUUCUCAGGAGCUGUUCCACAACUGUGGAAUCAUCUGCCGAUCGCAACACAAUCUGCUGACUCUGUAGCUGUCUUUAAGAAUCUUUCUCCAAUUUUCCUUUUUCUUUAUCUGUACAUUCUUAAAAAUAAAAUAAAUAACCAA